UUGACAGCCCUGGAGACUGAAGUCCUCGGUUUAUCAACAAAAUGGGUACUGCUUAGUGCAGAAAUUUAUGUACGCUAUCCCUUCCCAUGCAUCCCAACCCUAAUCCAGAGGGGAGAGUCGUUCAGUCUCCAUGCCCAGUGUGACAACUUCCCCAUC
rnacentral:sRNA from 1 species